rnacentral:rRNA from 1 species
AGUGAACGCUGGCGGUAGGCCUAACACAUGCAAGUCGAACGGCAGCACAGGAGAGCUUGCUCUCUGGGUGGCGAGUGGCGGACGGGUGAGGAAUACAUCGGAAUCUACCUUGUCGUGGGGGAUAACGUAGGGAAACUUACGCUAAUACCGCAUACGACCUUCGGGUGAAAGUGGGGGACCGCAAGGCCUCACGCGAUUAGAUGAGCCGAUGUCGGAUUAGCUAGUUGGCGGGGGAAAAGCCCACCAAGGCGACGAUCCGUAGCUGGUCUGAGAGGAUGAUCAGCCACACUGGAACUGAGACACGGUCCAGACUCCUACGGGAGGCAGCAGUGGGGAAUAUUGGACAAUGGGCGCAAGCCUGAUCCAGCCAUACCGCGUGGGUGAAGAAGGCCUUCGGGUUGUAAAGCCCUUUUGUUGGGAAAGAAAUCUUGCCGGUUAAUACCUGGCGAGGAUGACGGUACCCAAAGGAUAAGCACCGGCUAACUUCGUGCCAGCAGCCGCCGUAACAC